GUGUCAGCAGCCGCGGUAAGACGAACCGUCCAAACGUUGUUCGGAAUCACUGGGCUUAAAGGGCGCGUAGGCGGGUUCCCAAGUCGGUGGUGAAAUCUUUCGGCCCAACCGGAAAACAGCCGCCGAUACUGGGAGUCUCGAGGGAGGUAGGGGUCGAUGGAACUUCAGGUGGAGCGGUGAAAUGCGUAGAUAUCUGAAGGAACGCCGGUGGCGAAAGCGAUCGACUGGACCUUUUCUGACGCUGAGGCGCGAAAGCCAGGGGAGCAAACGGGAUUAGAUACCCCGGUAGUCC
rnacentral:rRNA from 1 species